rnacentral:rRNA from 1 species
UAGGGAAUCUUCCGCAAUGGGCGAAAGCUUGACGGAGCAACGCCGCGUGAGUGAUGAAGGUCUUCGGAUCGUAAAACUCUGUUAUUAGGGAAGAACAAAUGUGUAAGUAACUAUGCACGUCUUGACGGUACCUAAUCAGAAAGCCACGGCUAACUACGUGCCAGCAGCCGCGGUAAUACGUUGGUGGCAAGCGUUAUCCGGAAUUAUUGGGCGUAAAGCGCGCGUAGGCGGUUUUUUAAGUCUGAUGUGAAAGCCCACGGCUCAACCGUGGAGGGUCAUUGGAAACUGGAAAACUUGAGUGCAGAAGAGGAAAGUGGAAUUCCAUGUGUAGCGGUGAAAUGCGCAGAGAUAUGGAGGAACACCAGUGGCGAAGGCGACUUUCUGGUCUGUAACUGACGCUGAUGUGCGAAAGCGUGGGGAUCAAACAGG